UUCUCCUGGAAACGGGUGGUAAUGCCGGAUGUUCCAGUUGAUCGCAUGGUCUUCUGGGAAAGCUUUCGCGGUAUGGGAUGGGGUCGCGUCCUAUCAGCUUGACGGCGGGGUAACGGCCCACCGUGGCUUCGACGGGUAGCCGGCCUGAGAGGGCGACCGGCCACAUUGGGACUGAGAUACGGCCCAGACUCCUACGGGAGGCAGCAGUGGGGAAUAUUGCACAAUGGGCGCAAGCCUGAUGCAGCGACGCCGCGUGAGGGAUGGAGGCCUUCGGGUUGUAAACCUCUUUUAUCGGGGAGCAAGCGUGAGUGAGUUUACCCGUUGAAUAAGCACCGGCUAACUACGUGCCAGCAGCCGCGGUAAUACGUAGGGUGCAAGCGUUAUCCGGAAUUAUUGGGCGUAAAGGGCUCGUAGGCGGUUCGUCGCGUCCGGUGUGAAAGUCCAUCGCUUAACGGUGGAUCCGCGCCGGGUACGGGCGGGCUUGAGUGCGGUAGGGGAGACUGGAAUUCCCGGUGUAACGGUGGAAUGUGUAGAUAUCGGGAAAGAACACC
rnacentral:rRNA from 1 species